AAGAUUUUAAGUUAAAAAAACUCUAUACCUUCAAAGUAUAAAAUAUUAAAUAUAUAAAUCUUA
rnacentral:tRNA from 1 species